CUCUGCCUCCUCGACUGCCUUCGGGGUGCCGCUGUGGCACUGCACGACGCGGUGCUGGACACCCCGGCCGCAGGACACGGAGCACUGGAGAGAAGGACAAAAGGUGGCACUGGAGCGGAAUUUAAGGGAAAGCAAACCCGAAUGAAGCAGAGGCAAGCCUGUAGCAGCAGAGAGGAAAAGAAGAAAACCCACACAAGGCACAGCAACAGAUCCGACCCCAAGGAGGAUGCAGUGGCAGGGGAAGCCUUCGCCUUACUGCUCACACAGAUUUGCUGCUAUUACUCGGGACAAAAGGCAGCCAGCUCACACCAGCUCAGCUUUGGGAUUAC